ACGAUUGGAUGGUUGUUAUGUUUACAGAGUUCCUAAAUUGGAGAACAGCGGCAGCAGCAGCAGCUUUUCACUGAGGAGAUCCAGCGAUUUUUCGACAGCAGACCCGUUUAUUCUUUAAUAUUUACUGUUUUAUUAACUGUAUUGUGUUUUAAUUAUUAUAUUAUUGUUAUAUUACUUGUAUUUUCUGUUAUUAAUCACACAUAUUUUGUUUUUCAGGUGUCGAAACCGGUGUGGGUAUACUGACACCCCGCGGUCAGACAUGGAGUUUUGGCGGAGUGAAGACUAUCUCCUGGAGGGGGCUUCCGGUGGGUCAGGAGACCAGUUCAUUAUCCUGCCUUUUUUGCGGCACUGAGGAGCUGAGGGACUCCUGUCUGCAGUGGCAGGGUGAGGGUCCAGACCCCUGGAUGGAGCUCAGGAGGGUUCAGCACGAGUUCCUCGAGGGGAAGUUGAGGGCCCUCAUCGAGAAGCUUUCCUCGCCCAGGCGGCAUGGUGGGAGACUCCUGGUGCCGGUAAGGGAGGCAGCCCCCGCCCACAGGCUUGACUCUACUACGCCUGAUGUUCCAGGUCCAGUUGCACAGGCUUUGUGUGACUCGGACCUCGGAAUGUCAAAGAGAAGAUGUUGGAGCCACCUCCUAAAACACAGAUCAGAUUUCAGUGUUAUUUAAAGCAGUACAUAUAAGAAGCUGUGAGAAAGGCAUGUGAAAGUAAUGAACAGUGUUUAUUUAAUAAGUGGUUCUUUAAGGGUUUUAAAAGCAUUGCACCUUGAAAUCCAUUUGGAUGCUUAAAUGGAUUUUGAGUAAUGUUUACAUAUUGUAUUUAAUAACAUCACAAUAACUUCACACACAUACAGUAUGCACUUACAGUUUUUAUAUACAUAGAUAUUUUUAUAUUUUUAUUAAUGCUUUAGUAAUGUCUUUCUGCUUCUGUGUGCCUGGUUAUAUAUUUGCUACUGUAACACUAAAUUAGUCCCCCUACUGUGGGACUAAUACCCCACUGACACCCAUGCAAACACCCUGACACCCUGCACUUACUUUACACUGCAUCUAUCAGACUUUCCCAUAUUAUAUAGCAUCCUGCCCCCUGCACUUCCCACUCAACUCAUUCCUUACCUGCACUUACUCACAGUUAUUCUGUCACCUACUGGACUAUUUCCUUACUUCCACACACACACACACUCUAGAUAUCUGCAUAUCUACAUCUGUGCAAUAUUUGUUCUGUGCAAUAUUUGUCUAUAGUGUAAAGUGUUAUUAUGUGUAUUGUUAUUGAGUAUACUGUGUACAUUGGUGGGGAUCUGCACCCAAUUUCUUCACUCACAUGUACACCUGUACUCUGUGACCUGACAAUAAAAUCUUGAAUCUUAGCUUGUUUCGUUUUUACAUUGACAGUGCCAAGAAGCUCCAGCUCCAGAACUCACCACCACCUCUCAUCCACAGCCAUCCAGCCAGGGAGACACUGCACCAUCACUUACCACUAACACACAGAGCAGAUCCCUCAAACGCCUUGCCACCAACUUAAAGACCUCCAUUGUGUGUCGUUCCAGGUCUUCUCGCCGCGUCCUGGUGCAGGUUCGAGAGGCGGAACCAACUCACAGGCUGGACCUUCAGGACACAAAGCCUGAAUUGGAGCCAGUGCCAGCUGCACAGGACGAGGACGACCUGGAGGUGGAGGAUGUGAUGAGCGAAGGGAGACAGCUCCGAAAAGAAAGAGAGGAUGGCUACAGCACCUGCUCAGCUGCUUCAGGUGGACAGCAAGAAAGAGCUGAAAAGGUGGUCUGUAGAGGAUCUGGCUGUAGAGCUCUUAAAUACAUACACACAUACAUACCGACAUACAUACCUACAUAUAUACAUACACACAUACAUUGCAAGUUUAGAAUUUUAUAGCGGUAUGGAGUUUGUGGGUAAUAUUCUGUGAUAUCCUAUGUCGUGAGCUUGGAGGGGGGUGAGUCUGGGAUGCCAGAUUUCACUGCUGGGUCUUCCUGAGGUGUUCAGCGUAACGCUUAUGAAGGGAGGUGCUCAGCGGAUGACCCCUGUGAAGAGCUUGCCUCGUAGUGAAGGAUCAGUGUAGGAGAAGUGAAGGGUGGGUGUUACAUGUUUAGGAUAAAUGCUGCUGAUUGGAUGGUAAAUGGCCACAGCAGCGUAGUUGAUAGGUGUAUGAGUUUAUGGUUCUCAUGUAGUGUAAUAUAAGUGAGUAAGAGUAGAGUAUAGGGGAAGUGAAUGGGCGGGGCUGUAGAUUUAAACACAGUUGCAUUACUUACAUAGAUAUAGAGAUAGGAGAAGGAUUCACAUAGAGAAACACAAACACACAUACAUACACAAACACACACACAUACACAAACACACUAAUACACUAAUACACUCACACACACACACAAUUUCAAACAAACACACAUAUAUACACACAUGCACAUGCGUACACACACAUACAUUUACAAAGACACAUUAAUACACACACAGUUUCAAACACAUACAUACACAAACACACACAAUUUCAAAUACACAUACACAACUGUCUUUAUGUGCAUGUGUGUAUGUAUGUCAGUAUGUGUGUAUGUGUUUUUGUAUAUGUAUGUGUGUGUAUGCGUGUGUGUGUAUGUGUGUUUGUGUAUGUAUGUGUGUUUAUUUAUGUGUGUGCAUGUGUUUGUAUGUGUGUGUGUGUGUGUGUGUGUGUGUGUAUGUUCAUGUGUAUGUAUGAAUGCAUAUAUGUAUGUGCGUGUGUUUGUGUGUCUGUUUGUGUGUAUGUGUGUGCGUGUGUUAGGGCUGCAACCAAUGAUUAUUUUGGUAGUUGACUAAUCUGAUGAAAAUUUUGUUGAUUAGUCGAAUAGUCAGCGAUUAUUUCUGCCAUGUCCUCCAUCUCUAAAAACAACAGAAAAACAGCUAAACAUGAGAUUUAAAGGGCAUUUAAAUGUCCAGAUGUUUAAAUGUGGAAAGUACUGAUAUUUAGAGAGUAAAUUUUUAAUAUGUUGUGUUCAGGCACUUUUGGAGACACAGACUAAGUUGAGUGUAAACUGUAAAUGACACAUUUACCCAUAUCCCAUUGUGCUUUUGUCUCCAGCACUGUGUAAUGCAGUACUGUUACAAAUUAACGAUAAGUGGACAAUUAAAUUUGUAGUUGACAAAUUUAAAUAAUAAUCGUUGCAGCCCUAGCGUGUGUAUGAAUGUGUGUAUGUCUGUGUGUAUGAAUGUGUGUUCUCCAUGGAUCGCCACCUUGCCGCUGGUGGAGAAUCUUGUGUGUUCCAGUGAACCUGAGAGCGAUGCCGUCUGGAACUUAGGUUCCUGGUAGGGUCACCCAUGGCGGUAAACUCGAGGGGGAGGUUCCAGACAAAGUGUGAUCUGAAGACCUCAGUGGUAGGCAGAGGAUGAUGGGUGCGUCACAAGGGCUGGAAAGGCGGAUGAAGGCUUCAACAGAAAUGGGUCUCCAGUCGUCUUGGUCUCCAUGCCACUGGGCCCUGACCCAAAUAUAUUGAUGUGUUUGUGUUUGUA